rnacentral:rRNA from 1 species
UAGCCUUGACAUACUAAGAAUCUUUUAGAGAUAAAGGAGUGCUAGUUUACUAGAGCUUAUAUAC